UGGGGAAUAUUGCACAAUGGGCGCAAGCCUGAUGCAGCCAUGCCGCGUGUGUGAAGAAGGCCUUCGGGUUGUAAAGCACUUUCAGCGGGGAGGAAGGCGAUAAGGUUAAUAACCUCAUCGAUUGACGUUACCCGCAGAAGAAGCACCGGCUAACUCCGUGCCAGCAGCCGCGGUAAUACGGAGGGUGCAAGCGUUAAUCGGAAUUACUGGGCGUAAAGCGCACGCGGGCGGUUGAUUGAGUCAGAUGUGAAAUCCCGGGCUUAACCCGGGAAUUGCAUCUGAUACUGGUCAGCUAGAGUCUUGUAGAGGGGGGUAGAAUUCCAUGUGUAGCGGUGAAAUGCGUAGAGAUGUGGAGGAAUACCGGUGGCGAAGGCGGCCCCCUGGACAAAGACUGACGCUCAGGUGCGAAAGCGUGGGGAGCAAACAGG
rnacentral:rRNA from 1 species